AGAGUUUGAUCAUGGCUCAGAGCGAACGCUGGCGGCAGGCUUAACACAUGCAAGUCGAGCGGGUGUAGCAAUACAUCAGCGGCAGACGGGUGAGUAACGCGUGGGAACGUACCUUUUGGUUCGGAACAACCCAGGGAAACUUGGGCUAAUACCGGAUAAGCCCUUACGGGGAAAGAUUUAUCGCCGAAAGAUCGGCCCGCGUCUGAUUAGCUAGUUGGUGAGGUAAUGGCUCACCAAGGCGACGAUCAGUAGCUGGUCUGAGAGGAUGAUCAGCCACAUUGGGACUGAGACACGGCCCAAACUCCUACGGGAGGCAGCAGUGGGGAAUAUUGGACAAUGGGCGCAAGCCUGAUCCAGCCAUGCCGCGUGAGUGAUGAAGGCCCUAGGGUUGUAAAGCUCUUUUGUGCGGGAAGAUAAUGACGGUACCGCAAGAAUAAGCCCCGGCUAACUUCGUGCCAGCAGCCGCGGUAAUACGAAGGGGGCUAGCGUUGCUCGGAAUCACUGGGCGUAAAGGGUGCGUAGGCGGGUCUUUAAGUCAGGGGUGAAAUCCUGGAGCUCAACUCCAGAACUGCCUUUGAUACUGAAGAUCUUGAGUUCGGGAGAGGUGAGUGGAACUGCGAGUGUAGAGGUGAAAUUCGUAGAUAUUCGCAAGAACACCAGUGGCGAAGGCGGCUCACUGGCCCGAUACUGACGCUGAGGCACGAAAGCGUGGGGAGCAAACAGGAUUAGAUACCCUAGUAGUCC
rnacentral:rRNA from 1 species